rnacentral:antisense_RNA from 1 species
AUCCUACCGAGGCCACCAUAGACCAGCCAGCCCUCAGCGUACAUGCCAGCUAAUUACAGAUGCAGGAGCAAACCCCUGGCCCAUACAUCAAUUUUAAUGUCAUUGAAUACAGAGAACAAAUCUCAUUCAUUUUGGUAUCGGCUCGAGUCAACAAACAUUGAAAAAUCAUUUACUGCGUCUGAUUUUGGGAUUUUGGAAGCAUUGCCUUCUACAGAAUCCACAGUAGUCCGAAGUUCUUCUACGGUUUUUGUCAAACUUUGAUUUUCCAUCUCUAGCUUCAAUAAUCUACUUGAUGUCAACUCAUUCACCUCAUGGCCCAGGGAUUUCUGCGGUGCUAUAAUAUUGAAAAAUACACCAUUGUAUUUACUCUGUACUGUUUUUACUAUGUUUACUCUUUACUAUUUAAAAAGUUGAGUGUAUAUGCAUUGCAUCAUCUGAUCUUUAACUUUAUUAAAAAUUCAAUGGGGUUAUGUAAGAUAAACAAGAUAAGAGAGGUAAAUCUUUUUUUUCCUUUUCUUUUUUUCUUUUUUUAAAGAGACGGGGUGUCUCUCUGUCAUCCAGGUUGGAGUGCAGUGAUGUGUUCCUAGCUCACUGCAGCCUCAAACUCCUGGUCUGAAGGGAUCCUCCCACCUCAGUCUCCCAAGCAGCCGGGACUACAGGUACAGCCAGCUAGUUUUUUUAUUUUUUAGUAAAGACUGGGUCUCUGUUACUUAGGCUGGUCUCGAACUCCUGAGCUCAAGCAAUCCUCCUGCCUUGGCCUCCCAAAGUGCUGGGAUUACCGGCAUGAGCCGCUGCACCCAGCCAAGAGAUACGUUUAACUUUUAAUGCAUCCACAGCAUUCUAGUUAAAAA